AGCCAAUGAGUACCAGCAGGAGGUCUCACUGUCACUGAACAAGUCAUCUUUAUGCAGUAUUCUGAACACAUACAUGAGAAGUUAAUGUUUGUUUGCACAGCUCUGCUUAAUAUAAUGAUAAGAUUUCUCUCUAGGCCUCCGGCCUAGAGCUGAAAUUAUCAAGUGGGCCUGGGACUGAAGUUAGCAAGCUUGCUGAAAAAACUCUCAUCCAGAAGGCCAUUCCCAGUAAUCAAGAUCAAAGAAGAAAAUAUACCAGACGGAUGGACUCCCUCACCCUGAGGACUGUGAUUGACUUCACCUGAUCAAACAGAA